rnacentral:rRNA from 1 species
GACGAACGCUGGCGGCGCGCUUAACACAUGCAAGUCGAGCGAGAACCUGGCUUCGGCCAGGGGAAAGCGGCGAACGGGUGAGUAACACGUGGGCAACCCACCCUUGGUAUCCGGAUAGCCCGGGGAAACCCGGAUUAAUACGGAAUGGCCCAGCAGCUCUUCGGGGCGGCUGGAAAAGGUAGCUUCGGCCUCCGACCAAGGACGGGCCCGCGGCGGAUUAGCUUGUUGGUGGGGUAACGGCUCACCAAGGCGACGAUCCGUAGCUGGUCUGAGAGGACGAUCAGCCACACUGGGACUGAGACACGGCCCAGACUCCUACGGGAGGCAGCAGUGGGGAAUCUUGCGCAAUGGGCGAAAGCCUGACGCAGCGACGCCGCGUGGGGGAAGAAGGCUUUCGGGUUGUAAACCCCUUUCAGGAGGGACGAAGCCACUCGGGUGAAUAGCCCAGAGGGUGACGGUACCUCCAGAAGAAGCCCCGGCUAACUACGUGCCAGCCGCCGCCGUAAAA